rnacentral:rRNA from 1 species
CCUACGGGUGGCAGCAGUGGGGAAUAUUGCGCAAUGGGCGAAAGCCUGACGCAGCGACGCCGCGUGAGGGAUGAAGGUCUUCGGAUCGUAAACCUCUGUCAGCAGGGAAGAACGGUCACUGUGCUAAUCAGCCGUGAAUUGACGGUACCUGCAAAGGAAGCACCGGCUAACUCCGUGCCAGCAGCCGCGGUAAUACGGAGGGUGCGAGCGUUCAUCGGAAUUACUGGGCGUAAAGCGCUCGUAGGCGGUAUGUCAAGUCAAGGGUGAAAUCCCCGCGCUCAACGUGGGAACUGCCUUUGAAACUGGCAGGCUGGAGUGUGUGAGAGGAAGGUGGAAUGCCAGGUGUAGGGGUGAAAUGCGUAGAUAUCAGGAGGAACAUCGGUGGCGAAGGCGGCUAUCUGGACCAUAACUGACGCUGAGGAGCGAAAGCGUGGGUAGCAAACAGGAUUAGAUACCCGAGUAGUC